CGCAGAUGGCGGCGGAGCGGUGGAGCGGGAAGUGUGACCCCGUGGACAGGGAUGGCCUGGAGAUGAAUCCCCAGACAGCGCAGAUGAGGCUGUGGGGCAGCAGGAGAUCAAAGUCCUCCAAGAAAUACAGCUGCUUCAGUGACAAGAGGGAAUUAUCAUCUUCAGAUUCAGGAGGAAUAUGGGGAUGGUUUCACGUCCAUGAAGCAGCACAGUCCAAUUGAGAGCUACAACCUGUCCUGCCACUGAGGCCCAUCCCAGGAGGCCAGCCACGCCCUCAAGGCCAAGAAGACCAGGCCAUGAAGAAUCUCAGGCCCACUGAGUGCCCAGGUGGCAGGGGCAGAGUGCCUCAGGGCUCAGUGAAGUUUGGGCUGAGCGUGUGCUCUGGGAGUCAGACAGCUGCACAGGGCUCCCAGCUCCACUGUGAUCAGCCCUGUGACUGGGGUAGGGGACUCACUGCUGUGGUACUUGAGCAUCAUUGUCAUAAAUUUAAUGUGUCUGUCUAAUCCUUUUCUCUUUUUAUCUCUUUCUCUAUAAUCA
rnacentral:lncRNA from 1 species